ACCAAGAACAUCAACUCUGAGACUAUCGAUACAGAACAAGAACAUCAACUCUGAGACUAUCGAUACGGAACAAGAACAUCAACUCUGAGACUAUCGAUACAGACCAAGAACAUCAACUCGGAGACUAUCGAUACGGAACAAGAACAUCAACUCUGAGACUAUCGAUACAGAACAAGAACAUCAACUCUGAGACUAUCGAUACAGAACAAGAACAUCAACUCUGAGACUAUCGAUACAGAACAAGAACAUCAACUCUGAGACUAUCGAUACAGAACAAGAACAUCAACUCUGAGACUAUCGAUACAGAACAAGAACAUCAACUCUGAGACUAUCGAUACAGAACAAGAACAUCAACUCUGAGACUAUCGAUACAGAACAAGAACAUCAACUCUGAGACUAUCGAUACAGAACAAGAACAUCAACUCUGAGACUAUCGAUACAGAACAAGAACAUCAAAUCGGAGACUAUCGAUACAGAACAAGAACAUCAACACUCAUGUUGGAAUGGCUACAGGUCUAUAGGCCACGGAGGACAUACAGCGGUAGUUUGGCUCCACGGCUGGAAGUGGUUCAACUCUGAGACCAUCGAUCCCUACAGAAUAAGAGAAAAUCUUCAAUACAAAUUACUAGUCAGCAGCUAGAAAUGACGUAAACCGAGGAUGAGAAUACAGACAACCGUCGAAACAUCUAAUCUAUGAGAACAUUUCUGAAUGGUACUCUGAAGUAUCCACUCUAACCCUGAAAUACUUUGAUCUUCGGGGGAAACGCAACCAGAGAGACUCUCCAGCAGACGGACCGGGCUCCAACAGAGAAGACAACAAUACGGGCAUAAAAGAGGAGGUGUCUUAGUUCCACAACAUACGGGCAUAAAAGAGGAGGUGUCUUAGUUCCACAACAUACGGACAUAAAAGAGGAGGUGUCUUAGUUCCACAACAUACGGGCAUAAAAGAGGAGGUGUCUUAGUUCCACAACAUACGGACAUAAAAGAGGAGGUGUCUUAGUUCCACAACAUACGGGCAUAAAAGAGGAGGUGUCUUAGUUCCACAACAUACGGACAUAAAAGAGGAGGUGUCUUAGUUCCACAACAUACGGACAUAAAAGAGGAGGUGUCUUAGUUCCACAACAUACGGGCAUAAAAGAGGAGGUGUCUUAGUUCCACAACAUACGGACAUAAAAGAGGAGGUGUCUUAGUUCCACAACAUACGGGCAUAAAAGAGGAGGUGUCUUAGUUCCACAACAUACGGACAUAAAAGAGGAGGUGUCUUCCACAACAUACGGACAUAAAAGAGGAGGUGUCUUAGUUCCACAACAUACGGGCAUAAAAGAGGAGGUGUCUUAGUUCCACAACAUACGGACAUAAAAGAGGAGGUGUCUUAGUUCCACAACAUACGGGCAUAAAAGAGGAGGUGUCUUAGUUCCACAACAUACGGACAUAAAAGAGGAGGUGUCUUAGUUCCACAACAUACGGACAUAAAAGAGGAGGUGUCUUAGUUCCACAACAUACGGGCAUAAAAGAGGAGGUGUCUUAGUUCCACAACAUACGGACAUAAAAGAGGAGGUGUCUUAGUUCCACAACAUACGGACAUAAAAGAGGAGGUGUCUUAGUUCCACAACAUACGGACAUAAAAGAGGAGGUGUCUUAGUUCCACAACAUACGGGCAUAAAAGAGGAGGUGUCUUAGUUCCACAACAUACGGGCAUAAAAGAGGAGGUGUCUUAGUUCCACAACAUACGGACAUAAAAGAGGAGGUGUCUUAGUUCCACAACAUACGGGCAUAAAAGAGGAGGUGUCUUAGUUCCACAACAUACGGGCAUAAAAGAGGAGGUGUCUUAGUUCCACAACAUACGGACAUAAAAGAGGAGGUGUCUUAGUUCCACAACAUACGGACAUAAAAGAGGAGGUGUCUUAGUUCCACAACAUACGGACAUAAAAGAGGAGGUGUCUUAGUUCCACAACAUACGGGCAUUAAAGAGGAGGUGUCUUAGUUCCACAACAUACACAACAUAAUGCUAAUGAAUUACUUAAAAAUCAUACAAAUGUGAUUUUCUGGAUUUUUGUUUUAGAUUCCGUCUCUCACAGUUGAAGUGUACCUAUGAUAAAAAUUACAGACCUCUACGUACUUUGUAAGUAGGAAAACCUGCAAAAUCGGCAGUGUAUCAAAUACUUGAUCUCCCUACUGUAUACAUCAAGGAAUUGGCGCGGGCACUAGAACAGUCUGCAGCACCCGGCCUCCCCUGCUAGAAUCUGAAGUCAAAUGUCUCCUGUUUGCUGAUGAGCUGGUGCUUCGGUCACCAACCAAACAGGGCCUACAGCAGCACCUAGAUCUCCUGCAUAUAUUCUGUCAGAUCUGGUCAGAGCCCAUUGCCUUUCAUGG